AUACCAUGAUGAGGGCACUUCCUUAACAGGUCUUUAAAUCUCUCUCAUGCAUCAUAAAGCAAUUCUCCUUCAGUUUGGUAGAAAUUAUUAAUUUCCCCUCUCAACUU